rnacentral:antisense_RNA from 1 species
AUCUAUGGUGGCGGCAGCAGAGCAACCGCAAGGUUGGCUGGUCUCCUUUACUACCAGUAACGCCAACUCUACUGUCGUCACCACCCCC